rnacentral:tRNA from 1 species
GCCUUCAUGGUGUAAUGGUAAAGCACCUUCAGCACAAAUUCAGGAGGUCUGUGGUUCGAGUCCCGGUGAGGGCA